CAACAUGAAUAGUGCAACAGCAGCAGAUGCCAGUGGUGUGUUGGUUGGGGGAACAUGUGGUGAGGUGAUGAAGACUAAUUAAAAGGCGUGGAUGAAAGGAAGGAAAAAAAAGUGAGACAAAAGAUAAAAUAAAGAGAGCACAGAGCAGUGGAUGUAACCAAGGAAAAGAGUAAAGGAGAGCUGUGCCAAACUCAUCAUUUUCUUUUUACUUCAGAGGGGUCUUAUUUGCACUUUUGCAGCCAUUCCCCACAGAUCUUCCCCAAGGAUGUCUAUGCUCUAUGAGUCACCUGCAGUACUGGAAACAGAUCUUUGAAGAAAAGUAGAAGAUGUGUUCAAACUUGAGCAGACAGGUAGCUUGUCUUGAUCACAGAUGAAUGGAUCUGGCAGACUUGUAAUAAAAAAAUGAUCUCCAAAACCAAAACCAGACUGAAGACUGUGUCCAUGAAUAAGUGGGAAGUUAUGGAAGAGCAGCUUUGUGGUGAGUAGUUGGCAGCUGGGCUUAAACCAUGACGUGAAGCAUCAUCAGAGAUAUUUCACACUGGUGUGAUGGAGAGGUGAAACAAAGCAUAUGGACUUGGUUGGUGUAUGUAAAACAUAUGAAACAAUUCUAAAAAAAUCCAACGGGAUUGAAUGAUAUUUAAAAGGUACACUGCUUCAAAAAGUCUUACACUUCAAAAGACAUAUGAGACCUAUGUAAAUAUUUUAAUUAUAGUUAGGGUUUGGCCUAUUGACCAAUCAAAUUAUUUCGAUUUUUUUUUUCCUUCAGCAGAAUGAGCUGAGGGUCUUGAGUGACCAGGACACCCUCAUGGAGUAAAAAAAUUACAGGGUUAAUAUCCUUUUUAAUGGUUAUUAUUACUAUUACUACUACUACCACCACUACCACUACCACUACUACUGCUUCUACUACCAACAAUAAUAGUACUAAUAACAACUUUCCAACAGUACCUUUUGAAUAAUUAACCCUUUAAUAAUAACUGUAACAAUAAUAAUAACAACCUUUUAAAGCAUUAA